GGAGAAAGUCAAAUACCAAGUAGAAGAUAAAAACAACAACAAUCACACAGAGACAAAGAUUGGAUUGGUGGCUCCCUUUGGACCCAGAAGACACAUUUGUCAGGCAAUUGGCUGGGGCUGGUGGUGCACGCUAUGAUUAAGGAAGCUAGCAGAGAUAAAUGAGCCAAACUGGGAUGAAAAUUAUGACCUCAUCGACAAAGAGUUCCAGCUAACCAGCACAAAGAUAAUAAAUACAUACUUUUUGGAGCUUUGCUUUCUCUCUUUUGCACAAGAGUUUUCUGUACAGUCACUGAAGUAUGAAGACAUUUUAUUCUCUCUACACUCCCAGCAGAACUCUUUGUGCCCGGGAUAGCACAUUCCAUCCUCUGUGUACUAUCACCAGUAAACAAUGAAAUGACCAUCGUAGAGCCUAAGUACUCACUGCCUCAUAGGAGGAAUUUAUGAGAGGCUUUGGAUGAAAGUCACAGAGUAUAGUGGUAGUAUUGUACUAUUGUGCAGGAUAUUAUUACACCAAAGAGUAUGAGGCAUACAUACUUGACUGAGAGUCUUUUGUGGGCCAAAAUCAUGUCCUGAAAACAGACAUGGCAUUUUAGAUAAUGUAAAUUUAUGGAGAUUGUAGAUUUUUCUCCUAGAAAAUGAAUACAUCUUUUAUGCAAUUUACCGGAUAAAGGAUAAUAACGAAACUGGGAAAGCUAAGUUUUAAAAUAUUCAUUAUUUUUACGCAACAUCAAGUUGUUUUCAGAGUUGGUGAAUCUGUCUUUAAAAAUUAUUUCUAUUUCAAAUGAAUCAUUUGGUGACCAAGCUCACAUAAAAGGUGCGGGAACACAGAAAAAGAAGGGGAAAGAGGACGUGAAUUGAUAAUUUAUCAAAAUGUGAUGUGUCAGACUUUAGGUUGCAAAGAACAGAAGUUCAUUCAGUCUUAAGGAAAAAGGGGGUUAAUUGUAAGGACGUGCGUGGUUUAAAGUUGUUAAGUCAUUUCAUAACCAAGAUAAUUCUAGGACUGGUUACACCAGUGUCCACGUGGUCUUUCCUUCUCACUCUCUCCUGGUGUCUCUCUUCCUUCAGCUUCACCCUUUCAGGUAGGGCACCCAUGACUGGAUGGCUUACUUCAUCAGUGUGGACUCUAUCUAGUGAGUAGAUUCUGACUCAGGUGCCCAUCCCUGACAAAAGCACUUAGCUUCUCUUAAGAGGCAGUAGGAGGCAGUGUAAACUCUGUGUCAUACCAGUUAGUAUAGGCCCCACAUUUUUAAAAACAAAAAAGAGCCUUCUAUAAAAAUCAAAGUUGUAUAUACCCAAAGUUUACUACAAUGGAAAAAAUGUACCCAUAUACUGAAUACAAAAA
rnacentral:lncRNA from 1 species